rnacentral:rRNA from 1 species
GGCGUGCCUAACACAUGCAAGUCGAACGAGAAAGUCCCGCAAGGGAUGAGUAAAGUGGCGUACGGGUGAGUAACACGUAGCUAACCUGCCCUCGAGUGGGGGAUAACCUGGGGAAACUCGGGCUAAUACCGCAUAACGUCUUGAGUGCGCAAGCAUUUGGGAUCAAAGGCCCGCAAGGGUCGCUCAAGGAGGGGGCUGCGGCCGAUUAGCUAGUUGGUGAGGUAAUGGCCCACCAAGGCAACGAUCGGUAGCCGGCCUGAGAGGGCGCACGGCCACACUGGCACUGAAACACGGGCCAAACUCCUACGGGAGGCAGCAGUGGGGAAUUUUGCACAAUGCCCGAAAGGGUGAUGCANCAACGCCGCGUGAGGGAUGAAGGCCUUCGGGUCGUANACCUCU